rfam:Verticillium longisporum isolate VL1 genome assembly, contig: scaffold_27684
UCCCGGGUAGCUCAAUUGGUUAGAGCUUUGGACUUUUAAGCAUCAGCAUAACAAUCCAAGGGCUGUGGGUUCGAGUCCCACCUCGGGAG